UACGUAGGGCGCAAGCGUUGUCCGGAAUUAUUGGGCGUAAAGAGCUCGUAGGCGGUUUGUCGCGUCUGCUGUGAAAACCUCAGGCUCAACCUCGGGCCUGCAGUGGGUACGGGCAGACUAGAGUGCGGUAGGGGAGAUUGGAAUUCCUGGUGUAGCGGUGGAAUGCGCAGAUAUCAGGAGGAACACCAAUGGCGAAGGCAGAUCUCUGGGCCGUAACUGACGCUGAGGAGCGAAAGCAUGGGGAGCGAACAGG
rnacentral:rRNA from 1 species